rnacentral:rRNA from 1 species
UACGUAGGGACCAAGCGUUGUUCGGAUUUACUGGGCGUAAAGGGCGCGUAGGCGGCGCGGUAAGUCACUUGUGAAAUCUCUGAGCUUAACUCAGAACGGCCAAGUGAUACUGCAGUGCUAGAGUGUGGAAGGGGCAAUCGGAAUUCUUGGUGUAGCGGUGAAAUGCGUAGAUAUCAAGAGGAACACCUGAGGUGAAGACGG